GGAUGCGAUCAUACCAGCACUAAAGCACCGGAUCCCAUCAGAACUCCGAAGUUAAACGUGCUUGGGCGAGAGUAGUACUAGGAUGGGUGACCUCCUGGGAAGUCCUCGUGUUGCAUUCC
rnacentral:rRNA from 1 species